CACCUCAGUCGUGGUAUUGCUGGCCCGAGACUCGAACCCACAACCUUAGGGUUGGGAGUCAAAAUCUCAAACCAUUAGGCCUUGACUUCCCCCUAAUGUACCUUAAUGUUCAAAUAAGCAAGAAAAUUAUUAUUAUUAUUUUUUAAACAUUUAAAAAAUUUACAUUUGAUUUCAAAAAGUUCAACUGAAUUAAAACUAGCAAUCAAACCUGCAUGCUGAUACUGUAGUCUGCCUAUAAACAAGGCUUGAAAAGCAAUUUCAUGACAAGGCUGUGCAUGUGAGACUUUUGUUUUCUCUCUGUUUUAGUGUCUCUUUAGAUCAGAAUGAGGAUGUCCUGGUGAUCUGAAUCAAAACCACAACCACAACAGACUGUACUGGUCCAUUCGCCUGCUUAUCUCUGACAGCUGCCCUUGGUCUCUAUGAGUUCCUCCUCCCAUGAUAACAUCAGGACAUAUUACCUUUGAGUCCCACAGCAACUGAACAAUCUGUCAGGAUCAAAACAAGAGAGAGGAACCAUGAAGAAUAUCUGUAUGGAUAGAGCCCAGAUCUGAAAAAAGGUCAAAAUGAGGAUAUUAUUGGAGGCUCUGCAUUCUUGUGGUGUAUUUAUGGUGACAAACUGAAUUCAAGACAUGACACUGUAUUAAAAAUUCAAUGACAGCAGGGAUAUAUAAGAAAGGAUUCAGAGAAAUGUUUAAUUUGUGGGAAAGGAUCAAGAAUACAACAUUUUCCCAGAGGAGUUAAUGAAAGAAGCUUCAAUUUCACACUCAAUCACUGCUUUAUCGUUGUGUUUGCAGUGCUGAUAAAUAAAGUGCGUCUGCAGGUCACAGGUGUUAUUGGUGGUUCUGUUGUCCUGCCGUGUUCUUCAGCUCAACAUGAUCAUAAACUUCAAGAUAUUAAUGUGCACUGGAGACACAAUGGCAGCAAGAUUGUGUAUGAUAUAGUUAAGAGUGAAGAUUCAGUAGAGUUACAAGACCAAGAGUAUAAGAACAGAGCUGAAACUUUCCCUGAGGAGUAUCAGAAAGGAAACUUCUCUAUCAAACUCAACAAUCUUCAACACACUGAUGCAGGAAACUUCAACUGCCUCAUCACACCAUCAAAUGAACUGACGACUAUACAGCUGAUCAUCAAUGAAUCAACAGUAGAAAAACAAAACAAAUCCAGUGCACAAGAAAACAAAGGACCAGAAGCACAAUACAAGAUAUUUGUCUGUGUUUGCACUGUAUUUGUUCUAUUAAUUUAUUUUUUAUAAUUUAAUGGAGAAAAGGAGCUCCAGCUUCUUUCACUCAUUUUAUGACUAUAUUAGCUGAAGUUGUACAGCUUUCAUAUGGCCUGUUGCACCUCAGUGGUAUCUUUCUGGCACUCAUAUCAAAGUCAUGAUUAAUCGCAUUUUCUGCUGACGUUUCACUGAUGUCACACUCACAAUGUAAAACAAGUAUUACACUCUUGUUGUACUGUUAUUUACUUGCCGUUUUAAAAUAAAUUGACAGAAAACAAUGUGCACCACUUGUUCUUAUUGUUUAACAAUGAGAUCUUGAAACACUGAAACAGGAACACUUUGCUGUCAAUCCUGUCACUAUGUUGCUGCCUUAAUUCUGAUAUUUCGUAAUGUUGUGUUUGCCUGAAUAAAUACAGCUUUAUGAGAAUGUAAAAA